rnacentral:rRNA from 1 species
UACGAAGGGGGCUAGCGUUGUUCGGAAUUACUGGGCGUAAAGCGCACGUAGGCGGAUACUUAAGUCAGGGGUGAAAUCCCGGGGCUCAACCCCGGAACUGCCUUUGAUACUGGGUAUCUCGAGUCCGGAAGAGGUGAGUGGGAAUUCCGAGUGUAGAGGUGAAAUUCGUAGAUAUUCGGAGGAACACCGAGUGGCGAAGGCGGCUCACUGGUCCGGUACUGGACGCUGAGGUGCGAAAGCGUGGGGAGCAAACAGG